CCUGAGUCUGAUUCAGUGCAAGAGAUCCAAGUCGAAGCUCAAGGGAAAAACACUCAAAUGAUUGAAAAGAGAAAAGUCAAAUUCAUGUCAUAUAAUCCACUUACAAUAAUUCAAACAGAUAAACAAAUCUACAAUCCUGGACAAACUGUUCAGGUCAGGAUUUUCACAGUGGACCUAAAUUUUAAACCAGUUGAUGAAACAUACAAACUCAUAACAGUGCAGGACAAUCGAAUGAACAGAAUCAAUCAGUGGAUUAAUGCCACAUCAACCCAUGGCUAGAUUCUGCAACUUUCACAUACGCUGAAUCCAGAGGCUGCUGUUGGUUCAUAUGAGCUUUUUGUAGAGACUAGCAAGCAAACAAUUACCAAAAAAAUUUAUGUCAAGGAGUAUGCUCCUCCAGCUGAACCUCCUCGACCCAUUGGACCCAAUGGACUCAAUGGACCUAAUGGACCCAUUGGACCCAUUGGACCCAUUGGACCUGGUGGACCCGGCAUACCUACAACUCCUGGCUUGGCAUCUGGAUAUGCUUGAGGGCAACCAAAAUCCAUAAAACCAUGGCCUGGAAUU